UACGAAGGGGGCUAGCGUUGUUCGGAUUUACUGGGCGUAAAGCGCACGUAGGCGGAUUGUUAAGUCGGGGGUGAAAUCCUGGAGCUCAACUCCAGAAUUGCCUUCGAUACUGGCUUUCUAGAGGCUGGAAGAGGUUAGUGGAAUUCCCAGUGUAGAGGUGAAAUUCGUAGAUAUUGGGAAGAACACCAGUGGCGAAGGCGGCUAACUGGUCCAGAUCUGACGCUGAGGUGCGAAAGCGUGGGGAGCAAACGGG
rnacentral:rRNA from 1 species